rnacentral:rRNA from 1 species
GAUGAACGCUAGCGGCAGGCUUAAUACAUGCAAGUCGUGGGGCAGCAGGUUUGUAGCAAUACAGAUGCUGGCGACCGGCAAACGGGUGCGGAACACGUACAGAACCUUCCUUUGAGCGGGGAAUAGCCCAGAGAAAUUUGGAUUAAUACCCCAUAGUAUAAUGAAGUGGCAUCACUUUAUUAUUAAAGAUUUAUCACUCGAAGAUGGCUGUGCGGCUGAUUAGGUAGUUGGCGGGGUAAAGGCCCACCAAGCCUGCGAUCAGUAACUGGUGUGAGAGCACGACCAGUCACACGGGCACUGAGACACGGGCCCGACUCCUACGGGAGGCAGCAGUAAGGAAUAUUGGUCAAUGGAGGCAACUCUGAACCAGCCAUGCCGCGUGGAGGAUGAAGGUCCUCUGGAUUGUAACUUCUUUAUAUGGGACGAAAAAGG